rnacentral:rRNA from 1 species
CGAACGGGUGAGUAACACGUGAGUAACCUGCCCUAGGCUUUGGGAUAACCCUCGGAAACGGGGGCUAAUACCGGAUAUGACCUUGCCCUGCAUGGGGUUUGGUGGAAAGUUUUUCGGCCUGGGAUGGGCUCGCGGCCUAUCAGCUUGUUGGUGGGGUGAUGGCCUACCAAGGCGACGACGGGUAGCCGGCCUGAGAGGGCGACCGGCCACACUGGGACUGAGACACGGCCCAGACUCCUACGGGAGGCAGCAGUGGGGAAUAUUGCACAAUGGGCGGAAGCCUGAUGCAGCGACGCCGCGUGAGGGAUGACGGCCUUCGGGUUGUAAACCUCUUUCAGCAGGGACGAAGCGCAAGUGACGGUACCUGCAGAAGAAGCACCGGCCAACUACGUGCCAGCAGCCGCGGUAAGACGUAGGGUGCGAGCGUUGUCCGGAUUUAUUGGGCGUAAAGAGCUCGUAGGCGGCUUGUCGCGUCGACCGUGAAAACUUGGGGCUCAACCCCAAGCCUGCGGUCGAUACGGGCAGGCUAGAGUUCGGUAGGGGAGACUGGAAUUCCUGGUGUAGCGGUGAAAUGCGCAGAUAUCAGGAGGAACACCGGUGGCGAAGGCGGGUCUCUGGGCCGAUACUGACGCUGAGGAGCG